rnacentral:sRNA from 18 species
CAUGAUUAAGAAGAUCAUUCUCGUAGUAGGAAGGCACAUGGGCAAGGCGGCGUAGCCGCCAGGCGACAGCCGCUCAUGUGCAGAAGACAGGCUCCCUCGGGGGCCUUUUUUAUUGGGCCGAA